rnacentral:rRNA from 1 species
CUGGGAACUGCAUUUGAGACUGUAUAGCUAGAGUACGGUAGAGGGGGAUGGAAUUCCCGCGUGUAGCAGUGAAAUGCGUAGAUAUGCGGAGGAACACCGAUGGCGAAGGCAAUCCCCCUGGACCUGUACUGACGCUCAUGCACGAAAGCGUGGGGAGCAAACAGGAUUAGAUACCCUGGUAGUCCACGCCCUAAACGAUGUCAACUGGUUGUUGGGUCUUAACUGACUCAGUAACGAAGCUAACGCGUGAAGUUUGACCGCCUGGGGAGUACGGCCGCAAGGUUGAAACUCAAAGGAAAUUGACGGGGACCCGCACAAGCGGUGGAUGAUGUGGUUUAAUUCGAUGCAACGCGAAAAACCUUACCCACCUUUGACAUGUACGGAAGGAUCCAGAGAUGGAUUUGUGCUCGAAAGAGAACCGUAACACAGGUGCUGCAUGGCUGUCGUCAGCUCGUGUCGUGAGAUGUUGGGUUAAGUCCCGCAACGAGCGCAACCCUUGUCAUUAGUUGCUACAUUUAGUUGGGCACUCUAAUGAGACUGCCGGUGACAAACCGGAGGAAGGUGGGGAUGACGUCAAGUCCUCAUGGCCCUUAUAGGUGGGGCUACACACGUCAUACAAUGGCUGGUACAAAGGGUUGCCAACCCGCGAGGGGGAGCUAAUCCCAUAAAACCAGUCGUAGUCCGGAUCGCAGUCUGCAACUCGACUGCGUGAAGUCGGAAUCGCUAGUAAUCGUGGAUCAGAAUGUCACGGUGAAUACGUUCCCGGGUCUUGUACACACCGCCCGUCACACCAUGGGAGCGGGUUCUGCCAGAAGUAGUUAGCCUAACCGCAAGGAGGGCGAUUACCACGGCAGGGUUCGUGACUGGGGUGAAGUCGUAACAAGGUAAC